UUGAAAACCAGCCAGGCAAAUCAUACAAACAGCUGCCAAUAUAUUCAGAAUUCUUUGGAGAAACUGAGCCUAAAAUUGCUUAUCAGAAGUACUUUUUCCCGGAAUGGCUGUUAAUCAUCAACAUACAGCUUGCUUUACAUAAGUAGUUAGUUAAAUGAUUGCCCUGCGGUUCUAUGCCUCAGGCAGUCAUGUUACAUUUACAUCCAUGUCUGUCCAGACUCACAUAAUGCAUGUAGUGGAUUCUUGGAAGGAUUUGGAUUUAAAGGCGACAUCUUGUUCUGCACGCAUCCCAAGGGAGGCCGCGGUGCUCAGCGCUUCUCGGCUCCAUCACGCGCAGACAGCCGUUCGGUGCUGACACCAAAGCAGUGGGACUCACUAGAGACUUGCUCUGGAAUUUGUCACAAUCCUGCACCACACGCAGAAAACACAAAUGCACUCAGCUCCUUGUUUACACACAUCCAGAUCUGUCGCUAUGCUUGUCUCCCACCUCAGUAUCUGCCACCUCACUAGAAAACAAGAGAUUGUUUACUCAAAAAAAAAAAAAAAGAAAGUCCGUUAAAGAUCAGAUUUUUUGUG